UACGUAGGUGGCGAGCGUUGUCCGGAUUUAUUGGGCGUAAAGCGCGCGCAGGCGGUGCGGUAAGUCUGUCGUGAAAUCUCCCGGCUCAACUGGGAGGGUGCGGUGGAGACUGCCGGACUGGAGGCACUCAGAGGCCGGUGGAAUUCCCGGUGUAGUGGUGAAAUGCGUAGAGAUCGGGAGGAACACCAGUGGCGAAGGCGGCCCACUGGGCCGGUACUGACGCUGAGGCACGAAGGCGUGGGGAGCGAACGGG
rnacentral:rRNA from 1 species